UACGUAGGGUGCAAGCGUUAAUCGGAAUUACUGGGCGUAAAGCGUGCGCAGGCGGUUUUGUAAGUCAGAUGUGAAAUCCCCGGGCUUAACCUGGGAACUGCGUUUGAAACUACAAGGCUAGAGUGUGGCAGAGGGGGGUGGAAUUCCACGUGUAGCAGUGAAAUGCGUAGAGAUGUGGAGGAACACCGAUGGCGAAGGCAGCCCCCUGGGUUAACACUGACGCUCAGGCACGAAAGCGUGGGGAGCAGACAGG
rnacentral:rRNA from 1 species